rnacentral:rRNA from 1 species
AAAAAGCUCGUAGUUGGAUUUCUGUCGAAAACGGCCGGUCCGUACUAUGUGCGUGUAUCUGGUUCGGUUUUGGCAUCCUCGUGGGGAACGUAGCUGCGCUUGAUUGCGUGGGACGGAAUUCACGACUUUUACUUUGAGGAAAUUAGAGUGUUCACGGCAGGCAAGCGCCUUGAAUACAUUAGCAUGGAAUAAUAAUAUAGGACCUUGGUUCUAUUUUGUUGGUUUCUAGAACUAAGGUAAUGAUUAAUAGGGAUAAUUGGGGGCAUUUGUAUUAACGCGUCAGAGGUGGAAUUCUUGGAUUGCGUUACGACAAACUACUGCGAAAGCAUUUGCCAAGGAUGUUUUCAUUGAUCAAGAACGAAAGUAUGGGGAUCGAAGAUGAUUAGAUACCGUCGUAGUCCAUACCAUAAACUAUGCCGACUAGAGAUUGGAGGUCGUUCUUUUAUUGACUCCUUCAGCACCUUAUGAGAAAUCAAAGUCUUUGGGUUCCGGGGGGAGUAUGGUCGCAAGGCUGAAACUUAAAGGAAUUGACGGAAGGGCACCACCAGGAGUGGAGCCUGCGGCUUAAUUUGACUCAACACGGGAAAACUCACCAGGUCCAGACAUAGUAAGGAUUGACAGAUUGAUAGCUCUUUCU